CUAAAUGCUGCCUAAGUCAAAAACAUUUCCCAACAUUGAAGUUUUGUGUCGUUUACGUCAUAUAUUGUUGCAAGAAGCAUUCUGUGCUAGUCGUGGAGCUAUAUAGGUCUAAGUUUGGCAGACUGUCCUGAGGCAGUAGCAGCCGUUCAAAACUCCUUGAUGGAGGUUGGCUCUUUCACUCUGAAUCAGAACUUGUGCCGUUCAGCCACCAUCCUCCUCAUCCAUGGGCCCUAUAACCCAUGCCGCCUGUUUUGAAAUUGUAUGUGGUGAGUAGUGACACCAGCAAGUAUAACAUAGCUAUGAACCUCUCAGCCGGCGACAUGGAUGGCAAACAAGCGACUCACAUCUCAUCUGAAUCGACAGAAAACAGAUGCUGCAUUGAGCAUGCUUGGCGGCAGUCAUCCUCUGCUUCAGUUCAGUUAUCAGUUUUGACUCAAGGCCUCACUCUCAGUUGCAACUCUCAUCUAGAACAACUGGGAACAAGCGAUACAAUUGAACAACACAAGGAUGACAUGCCUUGCCUCUCUCUAGCAGAAGCAGACCAACAUAUGCAACAGAAUACUAACCACCCUGUUCCUUCACUCACUUGGUUGUACAAAAGGCAAUCAACAGUCAAACAUAUACAAGGAAACAAGCACAGCCUUGCCUGAUGCUCUAGAUACUGUCAUUUCACGUUCAGACUUCAGAAACAUGGUACUGAGGAUCAGAUAAUGCAGAGCUAGACACGCCUCACGUACCUGCUUCACCAUUUUAUAUAAUUCAUCACUAAACAAGGAAAAAACCACUUAGACGAGCGCCCAAGUCAAUUGAAAGGGGUGGUACCAAACUACCAUCCAACAGACUGAUCCCAUCCCUGACUGAAAAGCUCAGGCGCCCACCAUCCAUCAUGUAGACAAGUAAAUGAGCAGUAAACAACAGCAUUCUUUGCAGUCAGGGGUUCACUCCAAUUCAACUCAAUGCAGCAAGGUCAACAUGACAGCGGGCCAAGUGUUCCACAUAACAAAAGCAAAUGCAUUCCCACUUCUCACUCUUUCGAGUGGUCCAGUGAUGAUGUAAUGUUGUAUGUAGUCCUAUCAUGAUUUCGUGAAAGGAUAGAUAUAUACUUGGCCAUGUUACAGCCUAGAACAAGAAUCCAUAGUCAUCCAGAUUUUCAGUGAUGUAUUUGUUGUGCUCUGGUGCCACCCUACUUAGGAUACUACUAAAAGCAAAGUUUGCUUUAUGGUUGUAUUGCAUUCCAAAAGGGAUAUCUUGUUUUUGUUUGCUU